AAUGGAGCAUCCCAUAAUCAAGAAAAUUAUUGCCCCACUUCAUCAUAACAUAAUCUGUUAACAUAUAAGUCAUGUAUAACUCAAGCAUACUCAAAUUUAACAUGUCGCUGCUUGAAUUAAAAAUCCAAUUGCCUCUUUAGUUUUCCCUCCACCAAACUUUGGGAGUCAUUUAAUUAAGCAUCGACAUGCACUGCAAAUGUAGCAGCGGAAGAAAAUAUUCAAGUAAUAAUUGAAAGCUAGUUUGAUAGAAAAAUAAGUCUUUUCAGUUUAUAAAGUUAAAUGAAUUUAAAUUUCUCGGACUUGUAUUAUUUGUUUAAAAUAAUAAUUUUAGUAGAAUGCAUCAAUCAAGAAUUCCCUUAUUCAGAUUUCAAAGAUAGAUGCAUACACAAACACGUCCAUCGCACUGGGGCAUGGGGAUGAUGUUCGAAAUCCAAUCAGAAUAAUCUCCUUAAUGAAAUCUGUAUAAUAAUAACAAGACAACUACAUAAAUUAUAACUGAGGGAGUAAUAUACAACCUUCAAUCAAUCAAUUAUGCCUCAAUCUCAUAUUAGUGGGAUCGACUAUAUUUUACAUUUAGUCCUCUCUGUUUGGGUCCAUGUCCUUCGGAUACCAACAAUUCGGUUAUUAAGGCACAUCUCAUAAAAAAUGGUUUUCUCAAGGCAAACUAGAGGUUUUGGAGGUUCUUUAAAUCUCAUACAUAUCCCUACCAGGGCAUGACGUCUCUUAACAAUAAUAACUGUGGUAAACAAAAGGCAACAAUAUAUUAAUUGUCAGAGAUGCCAAUUCUGACGUUCUUUACAACAUUAACAGUAACUCAAAAACCAUAAUGGAUAUAUUGAUCAGAAUUAGGGAGUUUUUCAGAUCUAACUAUAUUCAUGCCACAUUCUUAAUUUGAGGAGGUUACAAAAAAUACUAUUCUUUUUCCGGUAAAGGGGGACGAGAAUCAUGAGGUCUCAAGUUCGCGGAGACAAAAGGUGAUGUUUUCCGAUCUGUCUAUGCCUAAUAGGUAGAGUUACCCCGUACCCAUGCUAGAGGGAGAUAGCAUGUAGUCGGUACAACUAUCUGCCUAAUCCUGCUAGGCAGAGCUGCACCGAGAGAUAGCUCAUCACUCAAUUAUGGAUCCCACAAGCACGCCCAUUUUCAACAGAACAUACAUUGACUCUAUUAUCAAUCUAACAUAUAUCACAUGAAAAAUUGUCAUACUUCUAAACACAUGGAGUAUCCCAUAAUCGAGAAAAUCAGCACCCCAAUCAUUAUAUUAAGAAUCGAAUUUAAUAGUUAAUUUUACACAUGCACUACAAAUGUAGCAGCAGAAUGUUAAAGUAAUAACUGAAAGCUAGUUUGACAGAAAAUAGAAGUCUUUUCAGUUUAAAUAGUUAAAUGAAUUUAAAUUCCUGAGAGUUGUAAUUUUUGUUAAAAAUAAUAAUAUUACUAGAAUGCAUCAACCAAUAGUGCCAUAUAAAUUGAAACUAAGGAAGAAAUAUACAACCUUCAAUCAAACAUGCCUCGAUCUCAUAUUAGGGGGAUCGGCUAUAUGAGUUCUCCAUAUCUAUUCCUCUCUGUUUAGGUCCAUGUGAUUUGAACACUAAACAAUUUGGUUACUAAGACACUGCACAUAAAAAAUGGUUCAUAAAUUGAAAUUAAGGAAGAAAUAUACAACCUUCAAUCAACUAUGCCUUGAUCUCAUAUUAGGGGGAUCACCUAUAUGAGUUCUCCGUAUCUAUUCCUCUCUGUUUAGGUCCAUGUGAUUUGAACACUAAACAAUUUGGUUACUAAGACACUGCACAUAUAAAAUGGUUUACUUAAGGCAAACGACAUGUUUUUGAGGUUCUUUAGAUCUCAUACAUAUCCCUACAAUGACAUGAAAUCUCUUAAUAAUAACCUUGGUAAACAAAAGAUAACAAUAUAUUAAUAUCUGGAUUAUUUGAGGAGACUAGAAAAAAUAUUAUCGUUUCAACGAAAUGGGAGGAGAACUAUGAGGUAUCACUUAUUAGGUUAAAAUCCCAAUGGAAGCAAAAAAAUACAAAGUAAUUUCCUCCCAUCUGCGUAAGCCUGGUGUGUGGAGUUAUUUGAUACUUGUGUUGGUAUGAGGUAGCAACUAGCAAGUACCUCAUAGAAUAGUAGAGGCGCACACCAGAUGCGGAUGCAACCUUCAGUCAGUGGCAGAGGCAGUAUAUCCACGAAGGGGGUUCAAAAAAAAAAUUGUAGCUAGUGGGAAUUGAACCCAUAAUCUUAUGUAGAUUUUGAACCCCCUUGACCACUAAACUACACUUUUUGAUUGUGUUAAGGGUAUUCAAUACUGAAUAUAUAGAGGUAAAAAAUAGAUCUUGCCUUAUAUAUACAGUAUAAUUUUUCGGCGAACCGAACACCCUUGCGCCCCCCUAAAUCCGCCCCUGCCUUCAGAAAUAAUUUCAAUGCAGAAUCAAAUGUAAUAAAUAAUAAGUAUGAGCCCAUAAUUUUAGCAAUAUAAUUAAGAACUUUAAAGAUUGAAAUAUAGAGUUUAAAUUUCGGAUCCGCCGCCCACGCACGCAAGAUGGUCUGAACACCACUUGACCAAAAUUUGCACCCACUAACCAUAAAAGGGAAAACCCAAUUACUUGAGAUAAACACGAAACAUGCUUCGCUGCUAUUUAAUAAAAAUCAUAUUAGCUGUGCAGAUGAUUGACUGAAAUCUAUUACUACUUUCAUUCCAAUUGCAAGAGAACCCGACAAUAAGUUUUGACAAGAAUCUCAUCUUAAUCAUUCCUUAUUCUCUUUGCGUGUCUGUGUGUAUGUGUAUUCCUAAGACAAUUUUUCAGAAAUUGACAUAUAAUAUAGCAAGAGGAGAGAAAGGGAACUUACAAGUGGAUUCGGAGGAACUUCUUCACAGACUAAGGAGAGCGAUUGAAAAAGCUCCGUUAUGAUUUGAAAUGGG
rnacentral:lncRNA from 1 species